rnacentral:rRNA from 1 species
UACGAAGGGGGCUAGCGUUGCUCGGAAUUACUGGUCGUAAAGCGCACGUAGGCGGAUUGUUAAGUCGGGGGUGAAAUCCUGGAGCUCAACUCCAGAACUGCCUUCGAUACUGGCGAUCUCGAGUUCGGGAGAGGUGAGUGGAACUGCGAGUGUAGAGGUGAAAUUCGUAGAUAUUCGCAAGAACACCAGUGGCGAAGGCGGCUCACUGGCCCGGUACUGACGCUGAGGCACGAAAGCGUGGGGAGCAAACAGG